UACGUAGGGGGCAAGCGUUGUCCGGAAUCAUUGGGCGUAAAGCGCGUGUAGGCGGUUCGGUAAGUCUGCUGUGAAAGUCCAGGGCUCAACCCUGGGAUGCCGGUGGAUACUGUCGGGCUAGAGUGCGGAAGAGGCGAGUGGAAUUCCUGGUGUAGCGGUGGAAUGCGCAGAUAUCAGGAGGAACACCAAUAGCGAAGGCAGCUCGCUGGGACGGUACUGACGCUAAGGCGCGAAAGCGUGGGGAGCGAACAGG
rnacentral:rRNA from 1 species